UACGGGGGGUGCGAGCGUUGUCCGGAAUCACUGGGCGUAAAGGGCGCGUAGGUGGUUUGAUAAGGGUGUGGUGAAAGUCCGGAGCUCAACUCCGGAUCUGCCGUGCCGACUGUCAAACUCGAGGGCUGUAGAGGCAGACGGAAUUCCGGGUGUAGCGGUGGAAUGCGUAGAGAUCCGGAGGAAGACCGGUGGCGAAGGCGGUCUGCUGGGCCGUUGCUGACGCUGAGGCGCGACAGCGUGGGGAGCAAACAGG
rnacentral:rRNA from 1 species